rnacentral:rRNA from 1 species
UACGGAGGGUGCAAGCGUUAUCCGGAUUUAUUGGGUUUAAAGGGUCCGUAGGCGGGCUUAUAAGUCAGUGGUGAAAUCCUAUCGCUUAACGAUAGAACUGCCAUUGAUACUGUAAGUCUUGAGUGUAUUUGAAGUGGCUGGAAUAAGUAGUGUAGCGGUGAAAUGCAUAGAUAUUACUUAGAACACCAAUUGCGAAGGCAGGUCACUAAGAUACAACUGACGCUGAUGGACGAAAGCGUGGGGAGCGAACAGG